rnacentral:rRNA from 1 species
GAUGAACGCUGGCGGCGUGCUUAACACAUGCAAGUCGAACGGAAAGGCCGAAGCUUGCUUCGGUACUCGAGUGGCGAACGGGUGAGUAACACGUGGGUGAUCUGCCCUGUACUUCGGGAUAAGCUUGGGAAACUGGGUCUAAUACCGGAUAUGACAAUCUCUUGGAUGGGGUUGUGGAAAGCUUUUGCGGUAUGGGAUGAGCUCGCGGCCUAUCAGCUUGUUGGUGGGGUAAUGGCCUACCAAGGCGUCGACGGGUAGCCGGCCUGGGAGGGUGUACGGCCACAUUGGGACUGAGAUACGGCCCAGACUCCUACGGGAGGCAGCAGUGGGGAAUAUUGCACAAUGGGCGCAAGCCUGAUGCAGCGACGCCGCGUGGGGGAUGACGGCCUUCGGGUUGUAAACUCCUUUCGCAACCGACGAAGCUUUUUGUGACGGUAGGUUGAGAAGAAGCACCGGCUAACUACGUG